GCUUCCCUAACGAGCCCGCCUGGCAGGGCCGCGUGGUCACUGGCAAGCCCCUGGCCUCUGCAGGAAUCCUGUCGGGUUUUGGCUGUGGGAUCGCUCUCCUCGGGAAUCAUGGACGAGUGGUCGCUGUCGCUGGGGAGCGGGACGCCACCCGGAGCCCCUCUGAGGGCCACUGGCGGAGGGCGGAGGCUGCCUCGAGCUGCCACGUCUCCCUCCUUCACCCAGAGAGAUUUUCCUCCCAUGGCUGACCCGUUUGCUCAUCAGGAUUGCAGAAGUGCUGGGCGCCAGGGACUCCCCAAGCCGCGGCUGCUCUCGGGCCGCAGGGGAAGCGCCGGCGCACGGGCAGAGCGCAAGCGAGGACAUCAACCGGGCGCUCCUUUUGUGUCUUUUUUUGCCAGAAGGACGUGGGAAAACAAAUCAUGAUUCAUCAGCACCUGGUUUUUCUCAAAAAUAGAAAUAAUACCCACCCCUCCCCGAAAAUAAGCUUCACUCGGCGAAUUUGUAAAUUAAAGCAGGGAGAUGCUUACUUCAAAUUUUUAAAGGCCCCACACAUCCGAUAGUCCAAACCAAGAAUAAUAUUUGGCGCGGAUGCGGAUUUUUCCCUCCUAUCUGAGCAUACAAAGUAUUGUAUGUUAUAUUGACAUUCGGGCUAAAUCUUUCCCUUAUAAGGUGUUUGACAUAAAUAGCUUUUAUUAUGGAAUUCUUCAACAGAAGGCGCACACACAUUUCCUCAAGGUCCCAGCUGUUAUUGUUAUCCUUCGAGACGUGGAAUUGGAAUCCUAACUUCCAAUAUCAGGUUUUUAGCACAAACCCUAUAAAAUCUAUCUUGUCAGAAUGUGCCAGAACCUCGAGGCCCUGCUCGGCCGAACAAGCUACAGCUGGGGCUUCACCCUGACGGCAGAGGCCGACUCUGCGUGUGGGACGGAGGCAGCGAACCGGCCCCGGUUUUCGCCCGGCUGCCGGCCGGCUGGGGAAGGCGUGGGUUUAGAUUAGCCGUGUCCUGCGCCGCCUGACGGGGUGACACGGGUCUGUAGGGCCGAGCCGGGGCCUGGAGAUAGGGCCAGCCAGCAAGAAUGCAGGGAAUGUUUUUCUUCGGACCCAACCGAGGCGCACAGACCACGGGGAUUCUGUCCGUGGUGACAGCCUUAACAUUUGCCAGAGCCCUGGACGCCGCUACACAAAUGGCAUUGCCCACCCUGGAAGUGAGAAGACUGUGCGAGGUGGCAAGCGAUGGCUUUGGAGAGAGAAACGCUAGACUGGAAUGAACUCUUAAAAGAGCUCACUAGUUUCUGGAUGGGUAAGAAAGGUAUUUUCAAAAAUUAAAACGCAAAGACUCAUUCUCAGUUCCCUUACUGGUAUGCUCCCCUACCCUCACCCCACUAUUAUUUAUUGUUAAUAUUUGACAUGAAUAUCAUUAAUAUUCAUUUGAUGCGAAUACAGUUCAUAUUCACCAUGUUAUAGAAUAUAUAUAUUGAUAAGAUAUUCUACGAUGCCAAAGUAUAGUUGUUUUCUUUUUCAUCAAACUUACAGAGGUCUGAUGUCCAAGGUCCUUUAAGUGGAGUUUGGAUGGAUAUGAUUAACACAAUUGAAAAUAUGUGACUUUGGGCAACUGAAAAAACCAUUUUGAUUUCCUGGGGCACGUUUUAACUCAGUGUUCAGAGGACACAAGGAUGCCCUGGGACAGGUGUUCGGCACCCCCAGCGCAAACACGGUGACAGACGGCGACAGUGUCCCCUGCACUGGACAUGAGCAAGAGUAAUAGCAAGUGGUCCUCUUGAGUGAGAAGCUUCUGUUGAGCGGGUCCGGCCAAGCGUCAGCACCGCCGCUGAGGCUGGUCCACGCGGAACAAAUCCCACCUACCCCAGGCUCCCUCUCCAGGACGUGUCUGCCGCACCCGAGCCUGAGGACCCCGAGUCUUGCCCAUGGACAGUCCUGCUUCAGGAGCCCUUUGCAACGCAGCAGGGUGCUGGGGGAGCAGAGAGGAAGCCCGGCAGAGCAUCUGUGCACUCCUGAACGGCCAAGGAGUGAGCAGACAGAGGGAAUUAGUCUGAGGAGGGGGCAGACUCGGGCCGGGGAAUUUCCCGUGUGGGGCAGGAUGUGGGGCGUCGGGCUGGCACUUCCUCCCGUGUGAAAAUCGUAGGACACGAACCACUCUGGCCCAGCACCUUUAUUUAUUUUUUUUUUU